rnacentral:lncRNA from 1 species
UUCCCCAAUGGUGGAGUCGUCCUCUGAUUCAGCAUCCAUGACUAAUGGAUCUGGAUCCCCGGGGAACAUCUCUGCUGUGUUUGGAUGGCUUGUGCAAGAUUAAAAAUACUCUGUAGUCUGCCAUUCUUCUUGUCCUAGGACCACUGGCUCAGCUAACUCUAGAGGGCCGUUUUAGUCCAGAGAGUGUAUCUCACUGGCCUGCCUCAUGCUUUGUGUCCCACCACUGACUGAGGUCUUGCAUUUUCAGUCAAGGAUGCAAUGAGGAGCCUAACAAGUGCUAUCACUAUAUAACUCCCCAGCAUGAUGGAGUUUAAAGCUCUUGGGCCACCACAUCUCAGAGCUGUGGAAGAGGAAAGGACUUUUCAGACUGAGUCUGGGAUAAUUCUCAGUGGGAAGGAUUCGAUGAGGAUGUGUGACAGAAGAAUCAGCAGUUUUGGUACCUCCAAGGCUUGUUGGAAUCUGGAGGACUUUAACCCACCGAAGGAAUUAAGCACGAGUUCAGAUGAGCACAGCCAGACUGGCUGAAGACUCAACAAACAUUUGGCUUAAGAAAUUCCCAGAAGAGGAAGAACUGGCGAAAGGGAAGCUGG